GCUUGUCUCAAAGAUUAAGCCAUGCAUGUCUAAGUAUAGUACCUUAUACUGCGAAACUGCGAAUGGCUCAUUAAAUCAGUUAUAGUUUAUUUGAUAAUUGAAAAUUACAUGGAUAACCGUGGUAAUUCUAGAGCUAAUACAUGCUAUCAAGCCCGACUUCUUGAAGGGUUGUAUUUAUUAGACUUAAGCCAAUAUUCCUUGUGUCUAUUGCGAUGAUUCAUAAUAACUGAUCGAAUCUCAAAUUUGAGAUAAAUCAUUCAAGUUUCUGCCCUAUCAGCUUUCGAUGGUAGUGUAUUGGACUACCAUGGCAGUAACGGGUAACGAAGAAUUAGGGUUCGAUUUCGGAGAGGGAGCAUGAGAAACGGCUACCACAUCUAAGGAAGGCAGCAGG
rnacentral:rRNA from 1 species